AUUCUUAAUUAAUCAAAUUACUUUCUUGAGAUCCACCAAUUUUUUUAUAAUUUUAAAAAAAUAUUUUUAAAUAUAAAAUUGGCUGAGUAUAGAUAAUAUAGUGUAGCUGUUAAAUAGUAGAGUUUCUUGAGAAAAAAAAUCUAUAAUGUAGUAGUUAUAUUGCUGAUUUGGUGUCUUUAAUUAAGAAUUGAGCUCCUAUGCUUUUAAAAGUACUAAGUCAUUGGUACUUGUAAGUUUUUAGCCAUUGGAUUAAGAAAUGUGCGGUUAAGAUAAUGUGGGCCUCCUAGGGUUAAGUGGGUGGUUGGUUGAAUAGUAUAAUCUAACGGAUGAAAAUGAUCAAAAGCGUAGAUCUAAUGGUAAAAAAUUUACAAGCACCAAAUAUUUGGUACUUUUACAAGCACCAUAGCCGGACUCCUUCAAUUAAUCAAAUUACUUUUCUAAAAUUUACUUAUCUUAUCAUAAUUUUUUUAAAAUAUUUUAUUAUACUUUUUUUAAAUAAAAAAAAGACUAACUAAAUAUAAAUAAGAGAAUUGCAUAAUACAACUCUCUAUAAAUAUAUCAAAUAGCAGAUAUAUUCCUGCAAAAUUUAAUUUUUUAUAUUUAUCAUUUAUAAAAGUUCUGAUAUUUUCAAAUAUAUUCAUGAUGUUAGGAUACAUUAAAAAAAUAUAGUUAACCAUAGAUAAGAUAAACCUUGGUUAGUAAAUAAGGUAAAUUAACUUUUUUAAUCUUCUUAUAUUAUAAAUGUUUCACUUAUAAAGAAAGAAAAUGACCAUUAAAGAUUUUUGAAAGAAUAUUUAAAAUCUGGGGUUUUCAAAAAGAUAUGCUUAUGAAGGUAAAAAUAUUAUUUUAUUUAUCUUCUGUUUAAAAAUAAAAAAUAUUCUAAUGGCAACAAACCAGAAAAACAAAUAUGAAUAUUGCUAAAUUUUUGUAUGAAUAAAUAUAUAAUAAAAUUAAAUUCUGUAGGAAUAUAUUUACUAUUCAAUAUGUUUAUAACAAAUUAGAGUCCGGCUACAAUGCUAUCGAUAGCACUAAGUACUAGGUGCUGCCAAAUCUUCUACCGUUAGAUCUAUACUUUUGAUCAUUUUCACUCAUUAAAUCAUACUAUUCAACUAACUAUCCACUCAACUCUAGGGGACCACUAUUAUCCUAACUGUACAUCCUUUUAUCAAAGGCCAAAAAUUAAAUAGCACCAAUCACUUGGUGCUAUUAUUAAUAUUUUAGUCUAGUUCUAAAAUAUUAUAUAAAAGGCUAAAUUACAGAAAACCCUCUGUCAAAACUUGAUUUUUCACUUUUUUCCCUGUAAUUUAAAAACCUACACUUUGUUCUAUUGUAAAAUGAAAAAUGUUCACAGGGGUACGGUGUGAACUGUGAUGAUAAAAUAACCAUUUUGUUCCUCACUAUUUUGCCUCUCACUAUGUUUACAGAAGAGAAGGCUGAGGUCAUUUUUGGCAUAAAAAAAUAUAUAAUAAUAUUUUAUAAACGGAACUCUAACGGAUUACUAACGGCAGAGGGCAAAGUGAAUAUUUUUUAUUUUAUAAGAGAGCAAAGUGUAGAUUUUUAAAUAACAGAAAGAAAAAAAAAGUAGAAAAUUAAAUUUUGACAAGAAGAUUUUAUAUAAUUUAGCCUAUAUAAAAUUAUUUUUUAUAAGUAAUAUUG
rnacentral:lncRNA from 1 species